AUGUCCUGACGGCUGGCGCUUGCUUGUCUUGCGUUUCAGCUCUGACGGAUGCUUUUAUUAGACCAAGCCGCUGAGGACUUGAGGGUUUCUGCCUUCUUGUUCGACUCGUGUGAUGGUGACUCUGGAUAACCAAUUAUGACAAGCGCACGUACCCCUCUUCUGAGCGGGACGGCGCUGCCACUUUCGAGUGUCUGCCUUAUCAGCUAUCAACCGUUCGUUAUGCGCGACCGAUGGCUUUGACGGGUAACGGGGAAUCAGGGUUCGAUUCCGGAGAGGCAGCCUGAGAGACGGCUACCACGUCCAAGGACGGCAGCAGGCACGCAAAUUACCCAAUCCCAGCAAAUGGGGGAGGUAGUGACGAAAUCUAACGAUGCGGGCGCCCUUUCUGGGGCCCCGCAAUCGGAAUGGGCACUUUCUAAACAACCUGUUGAGAACCUACUGAAGGGCAAGUCUGGUGCCAGCAGCCGCGGUAAUUCCAGCUUCAGCAGCAUCUAUUAAAGUUGCUGCGGUUAAAAGGCUCGCAGUUGAAUGUCUGUAUCGAGCGCAGGUCAGGUGGACGUUGGGGCGUGGAAGUACGGGCAGUUGGAUGUGCGGUCGGCCUCGCGCUUGCCGCCUCCUUCGGCUUUUCCACACACCCCCGUCCGUGACAAGCCUCCUCGCUCGGGUACAUAACGGGAAUCGGUCAACGGAGUGUGGGGUUUCCCUGCGGGCGGUGUGCGUGCGUUGGGGUUAAGCAAGGGGGGUGCUCACGCGCCUUUCCUCUUCGCUCCGCGUGCGUGUCUCCUGUCCGUGUUGUGGGGCCCUGCGUUAAGCUCCAUCGGUUUCACGGUCACCUUGAGUAAAUCAGAGUGCUCAAAGCAGUCGUAGGGGCCUUGCGCCCUGUGAACAGUCUUGACGGACUGACUUGGUUUUGCAUGGCAUGUCGGAAGACGACGUCGUGUGCUGGCUCAGAGGAUAAAUCAGUGGUACAAGCCAGCCUCGACGUAAUGAUUAAAAGGGACGGUCGAGGGCAUUGGUAUUGCGAGGCGAGAGGUGAAAUUCUGUGACCCCCGCAAGACCUCCUGAAGCGAAAGCGUCUGCCAAGGACGUUUUCAUUAAUCAUGAACGAAAGUUAGAGGAUCGAAGGCGAUCAGAUACCGCCCUAGUUCUAACCCUAAACGAUGCCAACCAUCAAUCCGCGCGUAGCACCCUUCUUAACGGGCUCGGCGGGCAGCUCCCCACUCACGGGAAACCAGAGCCUCUGGGUUCCGGGGGGAGUCUGGUUGCAAAGCUGAAACUUAAAGGAAUUGACGGAAAGGCACCACCAGGCGUGGAGCCUGCGGCUUAAUUUGACUCAACACGGGCCAUCUCACCAGGCCAGCACUCUUGUACGAUUGACAGAUUGAGAGCUCUUUCUCGAUUCAGUGGAUGGUGGUGCAUGGCCGUUCUUAGUUGGUGGAGUGAUCUGUCUGGUUAAUUCCGAUAACGAACGAGACUCUCCCCUGCUAUCUAGUCGGUUGGAUCUUGAUCAGUGGGUUGCGUGCCGAGUAGCUCUCGCUGCGUGAUGUGCGCGCGCGCGCGCGCGUGCGCUCCCGUGUGGUGCGCUCGUUUAUAGUGUGUUCGGGGCAACCUGCACAUGUGGGGGCGGGUUGCUGCGCGGUGCGUGUGUCGUGUGUGUGUGUGUGUUGCGUUGGCGUUGGACGCCUCGGAUCACACUGCACCCCAAGUCCGCCGCUCAUGCUAUAACUCUUCUUAGAGGGAUUCACGGCACUGAAGCCGUAAGAGACUGAGAGCAAUAACAGGUCUGUGAUGCCCUUAGAUGCUCUGGGCCGCACGCGCGCUACAAUGCCGGGCACAGCAGGUGUUUCUCCUGCUCCGACAGGAGCGGGUAACCCUCUGAAAGCCAGUGUUUUUGCAAGUGCUUCCUCCCUCGUGGAGUUGCACAGAGGCGUGCUUGGGCCUGGGACUUGCAAUUCUUUCCCACCAACGAGGAAUGCCUAGUAGCGGCGGGUCACUGAGCCCGCUGUGACUCAGUCCCUGCCCUUUGUACACACCGCCCGUCGCUACUACCGAUUGGGUGUACCAGUGAGAGCCUUGGACUGGCGUCCGUUGUUGCUUUUGUGA
rnacentral:rRNA from 1 species